GGGCGAAACCUUCACAAUGCACGAAAGUGUGAUGAGGGUACUCCGAGUGCGCAUACAUUGUAUGUGCUUUUCUGCAGCGUAAAUAGUUGCAGGAAUAAGGGCUGGGCAAGACCGGUGCCAGCCGCCGCGGUAACACCGGCAGCCCUAGUGGUGGCCGCUUUUAUUGGGCCUAAAGCGUCCGUAGCCGGACAGGCAAGUCUUUGGGUAAAUCCUACGUCUUAAGCGUGGGAAUUCUAAAGAUACUACCUGUCUUGAGGCCGGGAGAGGCUGGAGGUACUCCUGGGGUAGGGGUAAAAUCCUAUAAUCCUGGGGGGACCACCGAUGGCGAAGGCAUCCAGCUGGAACGGGCCUGACGGUGAGGGACGAAACCCAGGGGAGCGAGCCGGAUUAGAAACCCCAGUA
rnacentral:rRNA from 1 species